GACGAACGCUGGCGGCUUGCUUAACACAUGCAAGUCGAACGGAAAGGCCCUGCUUUUGUGGGGUGCUCGAGUGGCGAACGGGUGAGUAACACGUGAGUAACCUGCCCUUGACUUUGGGAUAACUUCAGGAAACUGGGGCUAAUACCGGAUAGGAGCUCCUGCUGCAUGGUGGGGGUUGGAAAGUUUCGGCGGUUGGGGAUGGACUCGCGGCUUAUCAGCUUGUUGGUGGGGUAGUGGCUUACCAAGGCUUUGACGGGUGGCCGGCCUGAGAGGGUGACCGGCCACAUUGGGACUGAGAUACGGCCCAGACUCCUACGGGAGGCAGCAGUGGGGAAUAUUGCACAAUGGGCGGAAGCCUGAUGCAGCAACGCCGCGUGCGGGAUGACGGCCUUCGGGUUGUAAACCGCUUUCGCCUGUGACGAAGCGUGAGUGACGGUAAUGGGUAAAGAAGCACCGGCUAACUACGUG
rnacentral:rRNA from 1 species